CGGUAAUUCCAGCUCCAAUAGCGUAUNUUAAAGUUGCUGCAGUUAAAAAGCUCGUAGUUGAAUUUCGGGAUUAAUUUAUUGGUCGUGCUAUUGUACGUACUGGUAUUAUUGAUUCCUACCUUCUGACGAACCCAUGAUGUCAUUAAUUUGGUGUCAUGGGGAAUCAGGACUGUACUUUGAAAAAAUUAGAGUGUUUAAAGCAGGCUCACGCUUGAAUACAUUAGCAUGGAAUAACGAAAUAGGACGUUUGAUUCUAUUUUGUUGGUUUACUAGGAUCGACGUAAUGAUUAAUAGGGAUAGUUGGGGGCAUUAGUAUUCAAUUGUCAGAGGUGAAAUUCUUGGAUUUAUUGAAGACUAACUACUGCGAAAGCAUUUGCCAAGGAUGUUUUCAUUAAUCAAGAACGAAAAGUUAGGGGGAUCGAAGACGAUCAGAUACCGUCGUAGUCUUAACCAUAAACUAUGCCGACUAGAGAUCGGAUGAUGUUAAUUUUUAAUGACUCAUUCGGCGCCUUACG
rnacentral:rRNA from 1 species